GACGAAGGAUGCAAGCGUUAUCCGGAUUCAUUGGGUUUAAAGGGAGCGUAGGCGGCCCUAUAAGUCAGUGGUGAAAUCUCUCGGCUUAACCGAGAAAUUGCCAUUGAUACUGUAGGGCUUGAGUACAGUUGCCGUUGGCGGAAUAUGACAUGUAGUGGUGAAAUACAUAGAGAUGUCAUAGAACACCGAUUGCGAAGGCAGCUAACGAAGCUGUAACUGACGCUGAGGCUCGAAAGUGCGGGGAGCAAACAGG
rnacentral:rRNA from 1 species